AUUUUGUGUAAAUUCCCAGAGGGGGUAACUAACUAAGGUAUCAGAAGAAAAACAGCCUUUUCUUGUAUUUUACCAUCACUGACAAUUUUGUUAGACAGUAGUUUUUACAUAUUGGCAACGCCAUUUGGUUUGACCUUUGUAGCAAAAAUGCUAAGUCAAGGCCUGAAACAGUAUGCACCUGAUGGGAGGGCAGGGCCAACCCAAGGGUACUCAGCUGCAUGCAGUGCACCUGAGUGACUGCAAGGGGUGCAGCUAGGAUCCACCCCCUCCCAGACCUCAUUUAAGGGUUGGCAGUGGAGGUAAGAGUGUUUUCCUGGAGAUCCCUGUCUACUUCAUGCUUUCUGAGGGUUGAAGUUUGUACCAAAAUGCAUGGAAAACAACAGAAGCAAAAUUCUGAAUAGCUUAUCAAAAGGACUUCAAUUACACAAAUUAUGCAUCACAAUAUUAAAUAUUCAGGACUGACAUAUGUAUUCAAACUGUGCAAAAUAUGGGAGGUGAUAUGAGAUAACCAGCAUGGUUUCACCAAAGGCAAGUCCUGCCUGACCGAUCUUGUCUCUUUUUUUUGAUGCCAUAACUGCAUCAGUGGAAAAGGAAGAACCAGUGAAGUGAGACCUCUGACACAUUCCCCCGUAACAUCCUUCUCUCCAAAUUGAAAAGGUACACAUUUGAUGGGUUGGCUGUUUGAUGGACAAGGAACUGGUUAUUAGUUGUACUCAAAGAGUGG
ensembl:lncRNA